UGGAAAUGCCUGUAGUAAUCCUGGGAGACCCUGUUUACCCCUUACAGCCCUGGCUCAUGAAACCUUACACAAAGGCACCUGGACAACAGCAAGGAGUGUUUUAACAGGCUGAGCAGGUGCCACAUGAUAGUCGAAUGUGCCUUUGGCCACUUGUAAGCUUGCUGGAGGUGUUUAAAUGACAGGCUAGACCUUACCAAGGAUAAUAUUCCUGUGGUCAUAGCCGUGUGCUGCACUUUGCAUAAUCUGUGUGAAUCUAAGGAUGAAAUGUUUGCUCAGGUGUGGAGCACUGAGGCAGAGUGCUUGGCUGCACAGUUUGAACAGCCAGAUGCUAGGGCUGUCAGAGGAGCCCAGAGGGCUGCUAUUAACAUCAGAGAGGCUUUGAGAAACCACUUUGACAAUGCAGGGCAGUAACACGGCCACUUUGGAGUUGUUUCCCUGUUGCAUCCAUGUACAAUUUUGGAGCCCAAGAUACACGCAACACAAUGAUUUAGGAUCCUGUUCCCUAGAGUGAAUUGAUUGCUAUACCCUUUUGUAGAACACAGAAUAAAAAUGUUGUACCAUUAAAUACCUUAGCCUUCAUUUAUUGUUAAAAAAGAUAAGGCUUCACAAUUGUGUGUAGCUCCAGCUAUCAUGCAAGCUGUGAGAGGGGGUAGAGUGAUGGGGAAAUUCAGAACUGCUGUGAAGUGAAAAGGAACGUGUGGGCACAGAGGGGGGUGGAGUUGGCAAAGAACAGUGCAUCUGCUGCAGUGGCACUCGAACUCGGAUCUGCUCAGUCUGCAGCUGUAUCAGAGACUUGAGCAUCUCUGCCUGAUCCUCCAUAACUUUUAUCAUCUGCUCUGUUGCAUGCCUAGCAAAAGCAGCAUUCACUUUUCUGUUGUGCCUUUUGGCUUCCCAGAAAUCUUUCCAUUCCCUGGUCUGUCUCUCAUCGCACUGCAUAACCUCGCAGACCAUGUCUUCUUUGCCGCGCCUAGGGUUUUUUCUUAUCUGUCACAGCCAGUCCAUGCGGGUGCAUGGUGUAUUCUUCAAGGUCUGUCGUCAUCUGCUUUCUGCCCCCCGUUGAGCAUUUCUGGAGUGGAGAAAAGUUCCUGGCUGCCUGCCCCACUGGGUGACCCCACUGGGAGCACCACAUCCUCUUCUAGCCCAACUUCUUCAUCCCCAAUUUCAGCCUCUGAGUUACCCCCUCUUUCAGCUGCAUGCGAAGUAUCCAUGGGGCAAUCAGCAAUGGAGGUGGGGUCACCACUGAGGAUAGCAUUCAGCUCCUUA